ACUAGGGUACAGAUAGCAGAAUUAGUUUUAGACAGUCCCCAAAAAGUGUUCACUAGUUUGGAAAGCUCUCAUUAAGCAAAUGUAACCAGUUUUACCUACCGGGAUUUCUUAGGGCCUAUAAUAUACAUAAUGAAUAUCCAAGAAGGAGAGUAUACUGUUAAUGUUUUCCAAAUGUAUUACUUUUGUGUUGUUGCUGUUAAAAAUCACUACAUAUUUAGUGGCUUAAAUAAUACAAAUUUAUUAUUUUAUAGCUCUGGAGGUCAGAGGUCCAAAAUGGGUUGGCAUGGCUGUAAUCCUUCUGGAGGAAGUUUUGCUCACCUUGAUGAGAACAAUCCAGAGGAUUUGUGGCCACAAAAGCCAGAUGGGGAUAGUUUCUGUCAGCAGCACAAGGUGAGAGCAGAAGCCACGAGCUCCAUGGACCACUCGGGAAAACGACGCACAGAGAAGACUAUUUAUAAGCCCCGUGAAGGCCACGAAUUUUGUUCACUGCUGCAUCUCGUGCCUAGAACAGGAAUGAGGAGAGCACUCUAGGUACUCAGAGUUAUUGGGAAAGCAGAAAUAAACAAGGUACAAUGUCCGCCUUCAAAGAGCCCACCACCUCGAGAAGUCCUGUGGCUAAGCCACUAAAGACUCGAAGUAAAGUGAGUAUGACAGAUCAAAUGACAGAAGCCUGGCUAUUGUUGUAUUUAAGUAGCCUCAAGCAGUAUAUAAGUAUUCUACUCAGUGAAAUGAGAUACAGAAAAAAAGUGGGGUAAAAAAGUACAAAAACCAAUCCAGCAAUAUAUAAAUCAAAGGAACACUAGACCCAGAACUUCUUACGUAACAGAAACUUUUGCCUUCUAAAGUAGGCUCAGUGUCAGCUGGCAGGAAUGACAGGAACUGGCCCAUCUCACUUCAUGAAGUUUGUUUUGUUUUGCUUUUUAGAAUAAUCUAAAGAGAGAAAACAUAUGGCUUUGUUAAAAAGCCACAUCUUCAAAGUUGUAUGUCUCUGUGGUUUAAUGUUUUUCCAGAGAAAAAUUACCUAUUUAUAUUUGUAAUCCAAUAUUUCCCCAAGUAUAUUUUUUUAAGGUUUCUUCCUUCAAAUUUUCUCCUAGU